UACGAAGGGGGCUAGCGUUGUUCGGAAUUACUGGGCGUAAAGCGCACGUAGGCGGUUUGUUAAGUUAGGGGUGAAAUCCCAGGGCUCAACCCUGGAACUGCCUUUAAUACUGGCAAUCUCGAGUCCGAGAGAGGUGAGUGGAAUUCCGAGUGUAGAGGUGAAAUUCGUAGAUAUUCGGAGGAACACCAAUGGCGAAGGCGGCUCACUGGCUCGGUACUGACGCUGAGGUGCGAAAGCGUGGGGAGCAAACAGG
rnacentral:rRNA from 1 species